UGCUUCCCACGUCAAAUCCAAAUUCUCCCUUCUCAUUUUCUGACAUUCUCUCCAUCAAUUUUUGAGUAUUGCUAUUAUCAAACCUGCAUUUAUACAUUUUUCCUUUCAAAUUGAUUAAGCUUUGCAUCAUGUAAAGAUGAACAGAGAAGUCUUCCAUGGAGCUGAAGAGCUGCAUUGAUGGAACAUGGAUUGGUCGGCCAUUUGAGUCCAUGUAUGGAGAGGAAUUGUAGUGUUCGUAGAGCAAUGUAGCCAGGUCUUGGAAAACAAGUGGAUUGACAACGGAUGAAGCAAUCAGGUAGACAUUGAUAUCUGAUUUUCGCUCCAUUCCAUGCCAAGCUAUUGCUGCCAAUGUUGCAUUAACCACCAUAUCUGCUGGGACCUUCAACGAAUUUCAAGAAAGAAGCAAUUCUUCACAAGUAAAGAAAGAUGAGGUAUUACUUUCCUUGUAAUAAUAUAGGAUUAUGAGAAUUAAGCACUAGUUACCACAUCAAGGACUCCAUUUGGGUCUGAUAAAAAACCUGUGAGCUACCCUUUUCCAUAGCACAAAACUAUAGGAUCCAUCAUCCUGAGACAAAGGGUGAAAGAGAAUAAAAGAUACAUUUAGCUGAACAGAAUAA